rnacentral:lncRNA from 1 species
AAUGAGACAUGUACUACCAUUUGGUCAAAGCCAAGACAAGUUUCCCCAGUCUUCAAGGGAUGGUUGCUGUAGUGACACCUAGCACUAUGUUCUCCUUCUCUUACUUCUCCAAUAAUAUAAACAUGGCAUGUUCAGCCCAGUUCAAAAAAAAGAAGCACUUGAGAACUCCCAGAAAUGAACAAGAUAAUGAAGGGCCUAAGGGCUAUGUAGAAACCUCCUUUCACACUGGUACCCUGCACUGGCCUGAAGUUUCCUUCUACUCAGCUUGUAAAAGGGACAUUCAACUUUUCUCACAGUUUUCUAAUGUGAAUAUGCUGUUUGCUUCCUGCUUGGACCCUGACUGAUUCAAAAGCGUUAUUUCCAACUUUCGGUUGAAGUCCAUCCUGCUUCUCUUUUUGACAGGCAACAAUUUUUCUUGGAAAGAACAUCAUGGUGAUAGAAUUUUAAUCUGAAUAUAAAUUCCAUAUCUGCAUUCCUUGGGCAGGUUGGCUCCAGUACGUUUCAAGUGCCAGCAACUGAAGGUGAACUCUGGUUGCUUCCAGGCCUCCCUUGCAUGAUUUGGGGUUAGAAUUGUCCAAAUACCAUGAGUAAUAUGGAAGUUCUCUGAAGGACAUGGAGAACAACCACGGCUGUGCCCGGUUCUUCAGGUGGCUGCCAGUCCCCCCGUGCCUGCUCCCUGUCCCUGCCUGCCUUCCCGCUGAUGAUGACUGACGUUCUGGGACGGAGGAGCAGGUUAGGCCUAGGUACAGUUGUGUGCUGGUAAAUUUGUAACAAAAGGCUCUCCAGGGGAAGAAAAGCCCUGAUUUUCAGUGUUUGCCAAUUUCCACGGUAUUAAAAGUACUCACACCAAGGCCGGUUUUAAGCAGUGCUCCUGAAGUCCCUGAAGACAGAGUUGAAAAGCAUCGUGCACAGUUGACUCUUCUAAGCUAGUCCGAGCUGGCUCCAACACACUACUGCCUAUGGCUGGACACAGAUCAGCAUUCUCAUGUUAUGAAUGAUUUAGCUUCGGAUUACUCUUCUGCAAAUGGAGGGAGGAGGCAAACCUCAAAUUAAAGGCAGGGUUGGAAUAUAAAAGUCUCAGCUCCUCAAGAGUCCAGAAAAACCUCCUCCCAAGAGUGCUGUGGCCUCUUGGCGCCUCUCCAGGCCCAGCCUGCCUGCAGGACUUGCUUGCUCCAUCUUGCCGGUUCUCAACGGAGAACUCUUUGUUUUGGACCCUGUUCUUGUAUUCUGCUCAGUGGACUUGAAAAUUGGAAGUUUCCUUGCUUCCUGGUCCUUCCUGUGCCUGGGAAACAGACUUGGAAUUCUUCUUUUCUUCUCUUCAUUCAGCAAAAAGACAACCCCACCAGUUACCAUUCCUUGUAUUAGUUCUUGGAACCCAGCCUGGGCCAACAGUUAGGCCCCCUGAGAAAAGAAGCCUAACUUCAUUUGCCUAGUCCUUCCCUCAAUAGAUUAAGAAAUGAAGAGAAAAAAACCUUCUUAACAUAUACUACAUAAUACUAAUAUUUACUUUAAAAAAAAAAUAAAGGCUUAACCCCUGCAUUUUCAUCACUUGAGAAAAUUGAUAUAAGCUAAUAUUUUCAAUAAUUUAAAGAAAAUAAACCAUUUCUUUCCUGCUCCCCUCCCCUUCUGAAUAUUCGGCAUAAAUAGUUGCUUGGGUAGAAUAAAUUCUCACUAUUCAUUGGUUUGAAUGCUUGUGUAUAUCCCAAGGGUAUACACAAUGACCUCUACACACAUGACCUCUGUUUUACAUAGUCAACUUUUAUUUUGCUGAGGCAGAAAUAAUGCAUGCAGCAAAGACUGCCAGCUGUUUACCAAAAUCCCUUCUCCUCUUCUUCCUGAGCACACAGCUAGACUAUACUUCCCAGUCUCCAUUGCAAUUCUGUGUGGCCACAUACUAGAGCUCUUGCACUGC